rnacentral:rRNA from 1 species
GACGAACCGUGCGAACGUUGUUCGGAAUCACUGGGCUUAAAGGGCGCGUAGGCGGGUGUGCAAGUCUGUGGUGAAAGCCUCCAGCUUAACUGGAGAAGUGCCAUGGAUACUGCACAUCUUGAGGAGGGUAGGGGCAUCUGGAACGGUCGGUGGGGCGGUGAAAUGCGUUGAUAUCGACCGGAACUCCGGUGGCGAAGGCGAGGUGCUGGACCCUUUCUGACGCUGAGGCGCGAAAGCCAGGGGAGCAAACGGG